AUUAUAUAACUUAAUAUAUAAAAUAAAAGUAACUAAACGUAGCAGUGAACAAAUUUCUAUAUUUGUUGUAAUACCUACUUAUUAUUUCUAUAGAGCGAUUAUCGCAUUUUGGUCGUUAAGAUAAAAACUUGUCCCUCAAUAACAUAUAAUAUUAUCGUCUAUUUAUUUUAUGAUCGUCAAAAAUCAUCCGCACGUUUUUGUGGCACGUACUGUAGUCGUUCUUUAUACUUUGUCGCGUCUAUUUCGUCCGUUAAAAUGCCAAAAGUCAAACCGAUUAAAUCAGCCAUUUUAAAAAAUUACGUAUCAGAAUUUGGUGACGCUAUAUUUUCUUCUGAUGGCAGUAUUCUCUUUUGUAAAAUGUGUGAAGUGCAAGUAUGUGCCGAUAGACGAUAUAUUGUGACACAACAUCUAAAAACAGAUAAACAUUCUAGGGCAGUAAAUAAGAAAAACAAUACAAAGUCACAAGUUCAACAAUUAGUAACAAAUACAAAAAAGUCAAAUUUUUCGUUUGAUCUGUGUAAAGCAUUGAUGUCAAGUAAUAUUCCGUUACAUAAAAUUAGUAACAUACAUUUCCGGUCAUUUUUGGAAAAAUACACUGGAAAAGAAAUUCCAACAGUUACCUACUACUUUACGCAAAACAUAAAUAUUUUUCAAUGCAAUUUUUAAAUUUAUAAGUGCAAUUUUUAAUAUAUUUUAAUGCAAUAAUGCAAUCAAUUUAGUGUGUUUUUUAAUGCAAUAACUUCGCUGCCCUAAUAAUAUACUAUAUGGCGAUUCUCAGCGUGGCGUGGAUGGUGGAUUCAGCGGUGAGCAUAUUCGGCGAGUGACAAACUGGCAAGUGACACAGCGACGCAGAUUACGGAGUCGUCGAGUCAACGACUAGGAAAUUAAAUAAAUAAAUUAUUUAAAUAUGUUCGCGUUUGCGUGCGAUAUGGCUUCGACGGCGUCGCGUCGCGGUAUACAGUAAUAUUGAUAUUAUUAAAAUAAUAAUAAUAUUUCGGUACAAAUAGGUACAAAAUAAACAAUAUAAUUAACAGAAAACGCGUAUACACUACACUUUCCGUGAAUGCGUGUGUACUAAUAAAUAUAUUAUAAUAAUGUGCAGGAAUUUUCGGCGUUCAUCACUAUGGCCUACCGCCUACGCCUUACAGUAACAAUACGGAAUAUUUAUUAUCAAACGAUUUUCAUUCGGCAACGAUUAAAGAUAAUAUUAUAUACGAAUGAUUCGAUUAUAGUGCGUCGAGAACCAUGAUGUGAUCACGACAACCCGGCUAUUUGGUGGGGGGUGCUCGGCAGUGCGGCACAACGAGAAUCGGUCGGUGGCAUAGACAUAUAAUAUAUAUUAUGUCUAUGGUUGGUCGGUGGACUGAUUAUUCUCUCGUGGGAUAGAGUAUAGUAUCUAUAGCCGUGGUUAUGCCGUUAUGACUUAUGCUGUACGCCUGUACCCACUAAGAUAUAUCUUAGAUAUUUAUACUAUAUUAGUGAGUGGCUGUACCUAAGAUAUAUCAUAAUUCUGGUUUUUAUGAUUUGCUAAUUUGAUAACAGUCGAUUCACUAUAUUAUUAUUAUGCUAAAUGUGAUUUGCUGAUCGUAAAUUUGCGAUACUAGACAAUAAAAUGCCCGUGUUACGCUUUAGGUAAGUUCUAUUAAAUCAAAGUCAUAGCGGCAGCGUUCCUGAAGUCGGUAAAAUUAAAAUGACCGCCACAUCGGCCAGGACCAACGCCAAUAGAUAACGUUCUAACUUAUCACUAAGAUAGUAAUAAUUGUUAUCAGAUAAAUAAUAUUAUUAUUUUUUCUCGUAUGCAGAUUGCAGACUUUAAAUUUGAAUCACUCGGGAAUCGCGAUUAUUUGAAAUUUGAACAAAAAUACAGACUACAAAAGAGUCGUACAGAGUUCUUACAGUAAUUCAUACAUUUUAGUACAAAACGACAAUGGACAAGUGUAUUUCUUUCAGUAAAACAUCCAAUGUAUCGCCUCGCCACAUUACGUUAAUCUUCAUUUAUUUCCAAAAAAUCAAUGAAAUAGAAGGUAAUAAUGGCUAAAAAUCUUCGGACUAAAUGAUUAUCCCAAUAUCUACCUGGCAUAGAAUCUGCGGUAAUCAUUUCACAAUAAUUAGUGGUUGCAAACAACGCUCAGUAAAUUAGUAAACAUGGUCAGAGGCUGUCUCAAAACAUAAU